rnacentral:rRNA from 1 species
GUAGGGGGCAAGCGUUGUCCGGGAAUUAUUGGGGCGUAAAGCGCGCGCAGGCGGUUCUUUAAGUCUGAUGUGAAAUCUUGUGGGCUCAACCACAAGCGGUCAUUGGAAACUGGGGAACUUGAGUACAGAAGAGGAGAGUGGAAUUCCACGUGUAGCGGUGAAAUGCGUAGAUAUGUGGAGGAACACCAGUGGCGAAGGCGACUCUCUGGUCUGUAACUGACGCUGAGGCGCGAAAGCGUGGGGAGCAAACAGGAUUAGAUACCCUGGUAGUCCACGCCGUAAACGAUGAGUGCUAGGUGUUAGGGGGUUUCCGCCCCUUAGUGCUGCAGCUAACGCAUUAAGCACUCCGCCUGGGGAGUACGGCCGCAAGGCUG